UACGGAGGAUGCAAGCGUUAUCCGGAAUGAUUGGGCGUAAAGCGUCCGCAGGUGGCGAUGUAAGUCUGCUGUUAAAGAGUCUAGCUCAACUAGAUAAGAGCAGUGGAAACUACAUAGCUAGAGUACGGUCGGGGUAGAAGGAAUUCCUGGUGUAGCGGUGAAAUGCGUAGAGAUCAGGAAGAACACCGGUGGCGAAAGCGUUCUGCUAGACCUGUACUGACACUGAGGGACGAAAGCUAGGGGAGCGAAUGGG
rnacentral:rRNA from 1 species